CACCCAGGCUGGAGUACAGUGACAUGAUCUCGGCUCACUGCAACCAACCUCCUCCUCCUGAGUUCAAGUGAUUCUACUGUCUCAGCCUCCCGAGUAGCUGGGACUACAGGCACCUGCCACCAUGCUUGGCUAAUUUUUUGUAUUUUUAGUAGAGACGGGGUUUCAUCGUGUUAGCCAGGAACGUCUUGAUCUCCUGACCUUGUGAUCCGCCGGACUCGACCUCCCAAAGUGCUGGGAUUACAGGCGUGCGUCACUGGACCCGGCGGGAAUCAUCUUUUAUACUAUGUGCCUUGCCUCCCCUUGGCCUUCCACCAUGAUUGUAAGUUUCCUGAGGCCUCACCAGCUAUGCAGAACUCAAAUGAGGUCUAUCCAGCUGGCCCAGAAGGGAGGAGAAAGCCCCAGGUGCCACAGCAGGAUAGACGAUGUCCUCAUCUAACAUCUUUCAUAACUGUACAUCCAUGGUCAGAAGAGAAAAAUCGCCCUACACAGAAGUGAAUGGAUGCCGUACUCCCCAAAAUUCAGCUGGAAAAAGAAGAUGUGAUGGCAGGCGAAGCAGCAGCAACCAUCAUAGACAACUAUCCAGGUAAAGCGAAUAGCACCAGAGAGACCUCAGCCCUGGCAGCCUUGAACCACUGGACCAGUACCAACAAACCCCACAUCUGGAUUUUACUGUGUCCAAAGAGAAACAUCUUCUACUUGUUUCAGAUACCGUUUGGCAGAAUUUUCUGUUACUCACAUGUGGAUGCCGUGUCUAACUGACACAUCAAGUAACCAAAGCCUGACUUGGGUGGUAGAGGUUACAAUGAAGAAGGGUGGGCCGAAUCGGGGUAUAUUUUUGAAGGAAGAAACAAUGGGACUUCUUGAUGACCUAGAAGUCAGUUGUGGUGGUGGGAGAUGGCAGAUAUAAAAAGUACAAGACUUUGGCUUGAGAAUUUAUGAGAAUGGGAAGGAAAAACCAGAAGAGGAGCAGGUUUGAAGAUUAAAAGCAAGGAUUCCAUUUUUGAUAUUUCAAAGUUGAGGUGCCUAAGAGGCAGUCUCCACUCCUGUGGUUUCCAGGAGACAGGAUCUUGCUGGCCCUGCCCCACCCCUUCAUUGACUCCUUCUCAGGGAGUGAUGAGCCAGCCUGCCCAGGUGGAGUGCCUGUUCUGCUCACCUACUCCCUUGUUUAGGCAUCCAAAGUGUAGCCUCCAGGUAAUGUGGCUGGGGCCUUCAGUGCUGCCUGAGGCUGGAUGCUCAACACAACGUCCAACAUUCAGAAGCCAAUUAUUGCUGUAAAUCUCCACGUCAUUUUCCAAUUUGGUGGUAAUACCAAAAAGUAUCUGUAGUCCCACAUGCUACACUUUUCUGUCCAUCUCUCAGUUGCUUCAAAUAUGGGCCAACUUACACCUAUAUAAUGACAGGUAGACAUUUUGCAUUCUUUCAGCCACAUCACAGGGGCAUUUUAAUAGGUGCCUCUUUCAAUAGUUACUGCCAAAGAAAACGAAGUUCUCACCUAUUCAUGGCUACCCUCUUAUCUUUAUUGUUAGAGCCAAGGGUUGAGUCUUCCUUGCCCGUUAGGACUAUAAACUGCAUGGAAAUUAGAACUUAUUUAAAAUUGAUGCCAGUGAGCAAAAGAUAAAAACAUGCAGUAAUCAUUUCACUGUUCAGGCAUAUGACUUCUUACCAUAACUCUGAAGAAAGUGUAUUAUUAGAAUUGUUUUACUAUGCUGUCUCUCAUUUUUUUCUACCAGUUCACUCUUACCUUCCCUCCAUCCACUGAUCCAUUCUCUUCUUCCCUCCUUUAAAAACUGCUGUAAAUAUUGCUUUUUAAAAAUUCUAUCCCUAAUAACCUUAGAGUUUCUAGACAUACACUCUUAAAUAAAGGGUCAUUCCUCAAGGCUGGUGAAUCUAGGUAAUGUGGUCUGGUAUCAGUCUGUGUGAAGACAGAAGUCUUAUUUUUCCUAUUCCUUUUCUUUAAAGACAGAUUGGUCUUAUACUGGAUAUUUGAUCACUUAUCAGAAUUUACAUUUGGGAAUUUGUUAUAUCAUAUGCUACGCUGAUGUAAAACCUGUCUUUUGAUAAAGUCAUGUAAGAUACUUUUACAUUUAAGAUCUCAGUUUUGCCCUCUCUUCCAUCCUAUCCUGACAGAUACAUUAUUCCUUGUGUUUGCACUGAUGAAAGAGGUGAUAGGCAUUUUGGCACACUAUAUCACAGAAAAUAGUACUUAUCUUCAGAAUGGAAAUAUACAUCCCAUAUGUCACUACCACAUAGGGCCCUGCACCUGGUAUGGAAUGGAGCAUGGCAUUGUUACAGUGUCAUUCAAUGGCUUUUACCAAGCAAGAGAACAUCGGCAGCUGUGAUGCAUGAUGCCGCUGUGACAUUAACUACAGACACAGAUAGAGUGCCCAUAAAAAAAAAUACACCCUUUUUUUGAAUAGAGCCCUGGGUAAUUACCCUGACUAUUGUUCUAAGAGAAAGCCCCACUUACAAUCCUUCAUCAUUUAGACUCUGGACAUAAAAAAAAAAAUCACUGGCAUUAAGUAGUUAAGGCAAUUUGCUUUCCAAAUGAAGAAAGGACAAAAAAAUCUCUACUCUUGAGUUGCCCAUUUUGACAGCCACAGCUCUCCCAGAUAAAAGAUCCUGAGGAGUUUUUCUGAUAGUACCCUUUUCCUACACAGAGCCCGAGGAAAAUGUGUUCAAGUUUGCUUUCUACUGUCAGCACUAGGAGGACAUAGGGGUCUGUGCGGACAGCCUGCAGGUGAAGGGUGGCGGCCCUGCAGCUAUGAUAUGAACCGUGGUGGGUCCAGCAGGCACAGAUGCAUCUAGCUGCCCUGCCCUGGUGGCCAGGCUUGCUGUUCUGAGGAAAAGCUACAGAAACGUUGCUCACCUUGAGAAGUAAACUCUCAGGGCAGGGUCCGUGUUCCUCCAAGUUGCCACAGAACAUGAAAUAGGUUAUGAAGUUUGCCAUUCAAUAUGGAGUAAAAAUGGGAAAUUAUUGAACUACUUACCCC